AGAGAAGAGAGGAGAAAGAGCAGAGAGCGAGAGGAGAGCGAGGUGUGGAGAAUCCGAGGGGGAGAGAACCCGAGUGUGUGUGUGCGUGUGCGCGUGUGAGCGCGAGCGAGCUUGCGAGGGAGAAGAACGAGAGAGUGCGAGCGAGAAAGAAUAAAAGGAAAGAAGAUUUUCUCUAUGUAUAUAAAGAUGGCCACGUUAGCAAACGGACAGGCUGACAACGCGAGCCUCAGUACCAACGGGCUCGGCAGCAGCCCGGGCAGCGCUGGGCACAUGAACGGAUUAAGCCACAGCCCGGGGAACCCGUCGACCAUUCCCAUGAAGGACCACGAUGCCAUCAAGCUGUUCAUUGGGCAGAUUCCUCGCAACCUGGAUGAGAAGGACCUCAAGCCCCUUUUCGAGGAGUUCGGCAAGAUCUACGAGCUUACGGUUCUGAAGGACAGGUUCACAGGCAUGCACAAAGGCUGCGCUUUCCUCACCUACUGCGAGCGUGAGUCAGCGCUGAAGGCCCAGAGCGCGCUGCACGAGCAGAAGACUCUGCCCGGGAUGAACCGGCCCAUCCAGGUGAAGCCAGCGGACAGCGAGAGUCGAGGAGGUAGUAGCUGCCUGCGCCAGCCCCCUUCACAAGAUAGAAAACUUUUCGUGGGCAUGCUCAACAAGCAGCAGUCGGAAGACGACGUGCGCCGCCUCUUCGAGGCCUUCGGGAACAUUGAGGAGUGCACCAUCCUGCGUGGGCCCGACGGCAACAGCAAGGGGUGCGCCUUCGUGAAGUACUCCUCCCACGCCGAGGCGCAGGCCGCAAUCAACGCUCUGCACGGCAGCCAGACCAUGCCGGGAGCCUCAUCCAGUCUGGUGGUCAAGUUCGCGGACACCGACAAGGAGCGCACGAUGCGGCGAAUGCAGCAGAUGGCCGGCCAGAUGGGCAUGUUCAAUCCCAUGGCCAUCCCGUUUGGGGCUUACGGCGCCUACGCACAGGCACUGAUGCAGCAGCAAGCAGCACUAAUGGCAUCAGUAGCUCAGGGCGGUUACCUGAACCCCAUGGCUGCCUUCGCCGCUGCCCAGAUGCAGCAGAUGGCGGCCCUCAACAUGAAUGGCCUGGCAGCUGCACCCAUGACCCCAACCUCAGCAGGUGGCAGCACCCCUCCGGGCAUUACUGCACCAGCCGUGCCUAGCAUCCCAUCCCCCAUUGGGGUGAAUGGCUUCACCGGCCUCCCCCCACAGGCCAAUGGGCAACCUGCUGCGGAGGCUGUGUUUGCCAAUGGCAUCCACCCCUACCCAGCACAGAGCCCCACGGCCGCGGACCCCCUGCAGCAGGCCUACGCUGGAGUGCAGCAGUAUGCAGGUCCAGCUGCCUACCCUGCUGCCUAUGGUCAGAUAAGCCAGGCCUUUCCUCAGCCACCUCCAAUGAUCCCCCAGCAACAGAGAGAAGGGCCCGAGGGCUGUAACCUGUUCAUCUACCAUCUGCCCCAGGAGUUUGGGGACGCUGAGCUGAUGCAGAUGUUCCUCCCUUUCGGUAAUGUCAUCUCCUCGAAAGUGUUUGUGGAUCGGGCGACUAACCAAAGUAAAUGCUUUGGCUUCGUGAGCUUCGACAACCCAGCCAGCGCGCAGACCGCCAUCCAGGCCAUGAACGGCUUCCAGAUCGGCAUGAAGAGGCUCAAGGUGCAGCUGAAGAGGCCCAAAGACGCCAAUCGCCCGUACUGAGCGCCGGCGGGAGCGUCCCCCGGGGGAGACCAGGACUCGCACAGGGCCAGUCAAAUCCACCACAGUCUCGCGCUGAGCUAGGAAUAAAGUUCACGUAAUCACAUGAGAGUGGAGAAAACAGUCCCCCAUCCGGCAGGAUGCUGAACGGGCUACAUUAAAAAACAAACCUCUCUCUAUAUAUAUUUAUAAAUGAGAACUGUUGGAUGACACCUUUGACAUAUCAGCCAAUAUCAAUCAAGCUGAAGACUCCAGACACUCUCUGUGACUGUAACAUUUCUUCAAGGAAAGUAUAGCGUCUGUGGAGUUCAGAGGGCACGUGUUUGGGGGGAAAGUAUAUAUGAUAUAAAAAGAAGAUGACGAUGAAGAAGAAAAAUGAGAAAACACAAAAAAGGCAACUUUAAAACAAAAUAACUUGAGACCAGAUGGGGAGGCCAAAGGGCUGGGAGCUGGGAAGAGACGCUGCUUACCGAUCCCAGGGCUUUUCCAGCCCGUGGGUGCCUGAGGCAGGCUGGGGCAAGCGGUGUGGCGAGGCCUGGUCCCCAGGGGGUGGCUGGGAAGCCGCCACUGAGCAUCUCUAUCUGUCAUUCCUUUAGCUAUUUAGGGACCAAAGGACCAAACUUUUUAUGGCAGAUGUGUAGCUCUGUCAAAUAGAGGGGGAUGGGGGAGAGCCUCCUUCCUGCCUCAUAGCUGUUCUUGAAACAGCUUAGAGCGAUUCUAUGAAAAAUGUAAUUAAAAAAAAAAUACAAAAAGACAAAAAAAAAAGAAAAGAAAAAUAAUGCUUCAAUGCUUUUAAAACAGCAAGAUAAUAGUUCUUUGAUACUUUGAGAGGCGCUUUGAUUACCCUCAUUCAAGUCUAUGACACUUUCCUAUGGUUUUCUGUAUUAUAUGUCUGGAUGGAGCUGUUAAGAUGAACAAAUUGGUGGAUAUUUGGGGGAAGUAACAAAAAUAUUAAAACAUUAACCAUGGAGUCUGAGAAAACGAGGGGAAAAAAGGGACUUACAAGGCAAGAUAAUUGUUGUGGAAAGUCUGUAAAUGCUUCUAACUCUUCCCCCUCUUAAAAUCAUAAUAGUUGUACAGAAUUUUAAAAAGGAGAAGUUUAAAAUACCUAUAUAAUAGAAGAAAAAUUAGAGGAAAGCAAAAAAAUUUUAAAAAAAGGAAAAAAAAAACCCUAUAGAAGUUAGCGUUACUGCUAAAAUCCCAGAUGUUGUAGGACUGUACUUUUGUAGAGUUUAGACUGAGCAUCAAUCCCUUCUUCCCGCGAGUGCUGUCGGGCGCCGUCGAGCCUGAGGGCCCGGCCGGACUGGCCCAGACCUGUGGGCUCCGGGCCGCCCAUCGACGCCGCCGGAAGGCCCGCCAUCGCCACCCUCGCCUCGCUUCGCUCCGGGAGCUGCGCGCGCUCGCCCGCCCGCUCUCCGCAAGCCCUUGACACCUGCUUCACUCGCCUUCCAUGCUUGCUCCAGAGACUUUCCGGGCAAGGGAGACCUGGGAACUUUCAUCUUAAAACAACUAAACAACACACACACACACACAAAAACCUUAAACAAGAAAGAGAGAGAGAGAAAAAAAAAUCUUUGAAGAAUUUCUGAAACUGUUUACAAGGAAUUUUGAAAAACAGGGAUGUUUAAAUGAUGCCGGCUCUGUUUUUCUGUAAAUAAAUUUGCAUAUUUUGUAGGACUUUUAAUUGUAAUGAUAGAGAAAAAAACAAGGAAAACUAUUUAAU